rnacentral:rRNA from 1 species
GACGAACGCUGGCGGCGUGCUUAACACAUGCAAGUCGAACGGAAAGGCCCUGCUUUUGUGGGGUGCUCGAGUGGCGAACGGGUGAGUAACACGUGAGUAACCUGCCCUUGACUUUGGGAUAACUUCAGGAAACUGGGGCUAAUACCGGAUAGGAGCUCCUGCUGCAUGGUGGGGGUUGGAAAGUUUCGGCGGUUGGGGAUGGACUCGCGGCUUAUCAGCUUGUUGGUGGGGUAGUGGCUUACCAAGGCUUUGACGGGUAGCCGGCCUGAGAGGGUGAGCGGGGAAGUUGGGAGGGAUAGUGCGCCGAGACCCAUACGGUGAUGACGAGGGGGGGGGUGUGCACUAUGGGCGGUCGCGUUAUGAAGCGACGCCGCGUGGGAGGUGUCGGGCUUCGCGGUGAUAGACACAGUCGCCCCUGACAACGCGGGAGUGGCGGUAAUGGGAAAAGAUGCAACCACGCACUACUUC